GUGAGGAUCAAAUGAAAUCAUGAUGUGAUGUGUUUUGGGGACUGCAAGACAGCACACAGAGGUAGAAGAAGCUUCAUGCAACUAGGGAGCUUGCUGCAUCUGGGUCAGAGCACAGAGUGAAAAUAGGCAUCAUUCAGGACCCUCAGUGGUAUCCUGCCCAACCUGGGGCCUGUUCCCUUAUCUUCCAGUUGAAGAAGGGGUCGUCUGUCUCCUGGAGGUGCUGCCAUCUUGGGCUGGAGCCUGUCUACUCGCUGGACCUGCCUCUCUCUCCACCCUGCCAGGAAGAAUGUAGCACCCUGGUCCGAGGCUGGCUUGGACUAAAAAGCAUAUUCGUAGUUGCUAC
rnacentral:lncRNA from 1 species